UGGGGAAUAUUGCACAAUGGGCGAAAGCCUGAUGCAGCAACGCCGCGUGAGCGAUGAAGGCCUUCGGGUCGUAAAGCUCUGUCCUCAAGGAAGAUAAUGACGGUACUUGAGGAGGAAGCCCCGGCUAACUACGUGCCAGCAGCCGCGGUAAUACGUAGGGGGCUAGCGUUAUCCGGAAUUACUGGGCGUAAAGGGUGCGUAGGUGGUUUCUUAAGUCAGAGGUGAAAGGCUACGGCUCAACCGUAGUAAGCCUUUGAAACUGGGAAACUUGAGUGCAGGAGAGGAGAGUGGAAUUCCUAGUGUAGCGGUGAAAUGCGUAGAUAUUAGGAGGAACACCAGUGGCGAAGGCGGCUUUCUGGCUCGUUACUGACGCUGAAGCGCGAAAGUGUGGGGAGCAAACA
rnacentral:rRNA from 1 species